UACGUAGGGACCGAGCGUUGUCCGGAAUCAUUGGGCGUAAAGGGCGCGUAGGCGGCUAGAUGUGUCAAAGGUGAAAUCCCUCGGCUCAACUGAGGAACUGCCUUUGAAACUGUCUGGCUUGAGGCCGGGAGAGGGUAGCGGAAUUCCCAGUGUAGCGGUGAAAUGCGUAGAUAUUGGGAGGAACACCAGUGGCGAAGGCGGCUACCUGGACCGGUUCUGACGCUGAGGCGCGAAAGCGUGGGUAGCAAACAGG
rnacentral:rRNA from 1 species